GGGUUCCCAGUGUUCCCUGAUAAGAGUGCCUCCCUGUGUAUAAACUGUUUGUAUAAACAAUGUGGUUUAUGAUGAACAUUUGCUUCUCCUCUGGGACUCUAGAAUUUUGGUAUGGGCUAGGCAGAGGGUGACCAUAUGACCAGCCUCCAACAUGAAACUCUGGGCAUUGAAUCUCUACUGACCUGCUCAGAGAUGGGGCCCCACUUUGCUGUCCAGCCUUGGUUCAAAACUCCUAGGUUCAAAUGGUCCUCCUGUCUCAGCCUCCUAAAGUUCUGGGAUUACAGCACUGGGGAAGAAGCAUUUCUAACAGGAGCCUGCAUGCUGAGGAUGGCAGAGGAAAAAGACAGAGCCAUACUGAGCCCUUGGAGAUGCCACUGAGGAGCUACGCUAACCAAUCCUGGAGGCACCAUAACCUAGGACUUCUUCUUAUACAAGGAUGCUAGAGAGCAGUCUUCAGCCUGAGACCCAUCUCUAGCUUCUAACAACUCAGUAUACUCCUAUGAACAAAAUUUGGAGCAUAUUUGUUUCUCUCUACCUGAUUUCUUCAGACUGUGGAAACUAUUUGAAUCAAACUUGACUUAUGGAUCCAAUAAAGCCCUUGGAAAAACUGGCCUCAUAUUUUGUGUAAACAGUCCCCGUACAGGGUUUCUGACUUGUGUUUUCCUAAUUUGGAAUCACUGAAAACUAAGUUUUGCUUUCUUAAAACCCUGUGAACUGAAGCCAGACAACUUAAACUUCAGAAGAAAAUAACAGCAACCUAUUUGCAUACAUAAGCCACUUGCAUACCUGCCUACUAAUGUAUGGACUUCAGAGUAAUGUGGCUGAUAUACAUUUUUCCAGGAUUGUUCUUUUGUUUAUUGUUGUUUUUCUCCCUUCUUCCCCCAAUUUUCUCUUCAUAGGACAUGAGACUUCACAGCCUGCUAAAAAUAAGCUUUUGGGACCUACCCAUUUAGGAAUAAACAGUCCUAGCCUUGAGAGAUCAGAUGAAAUCUGAGGCCAGAGACUCAUUUUCUUCUAAAAUGCUUUCUCCAAAAGAUUUUUAAAUAGAAAAGAGGGGAAAUGUGAAAGGAAAAUGUCUUCAGCCCCUUCAAGCUGGGAACUCUCAGUACAAAUCUGUCUCUCAUUCUAUUCAAAGUCAUUUCUCUGCUCAGAGAUAGAUGCAUAUUCUGAUUGCCUUCUUUGGAAAGACUUACCAGAAACUCAAAAGAAUGCAACCAUCUGUCUCUCACCUACCUGUGACCUGGAAGCCCAUAGGGUAAAGGGGGCUUGCUUUGAGUUGUCUCUACUUUUCUGAAUGGAAUGAAUGUACUUCUUACAUUUAUUGAUUGAUGUCUCAUGUUUCCCUAAAAUGUAUAAAACCAAUCUGUGCCCCGGCCACCCUGGGCAUGUGUUGUCAGGACUUCCUAAGGCUAUGUCACAGGUGCAUCCUCAACUUUGGCAAAUAAACUUUCUAAAUUAACUGAGACCUCUCUCAGAUUUUCUGGGUUCACUAUUCCUACUUGGAAAAUUGUCGAUAU
rnacentral:lncRNA from 10 species